CGACUAAGCGUACACGGUGGAUGCCCUGGCAGUCAGAGGCGAUGAAGGACGUGCUAAUCUGCGAAAAGCGUCGGUAAGGUGAUAUGAACCGUUAUAGCCGGCGAUGUCCGAAUGGGGAAACCCAGUGUGAUUCGUCACACUAUCGUUAACUGAAUACAUAGGUUAACGAGGCGAACCGGGGGAACUGAAACAUCUAAGUACCCCGAGGAAAAGAAAUCAACC
rnacentral:rRNA from 1 species